UACAGAGGGUGCGAGCGUUGUUCGGAAUUAUUGGGCGUAAAGCGCGAGUAGGCGGUUCCGUAAGUCGUCUGUGAAAGCCCCCGGCUCAACCGGGGAAGUGCGGGCGAAACUGCGGGACUCGAGUGCUGGAGAGGGUCGCGGAAUUCCCGGUGUAGAGGUGAAAUUCGUAGAUAUCGGGAGGAACACCAGAGGCGAAGGCGGCGACCUGGACAGACACUGACGCUGAGAAGCGAAAGCGUGGGGAGCAAACAGG
rnacentral:rRNA from 1 species